CACAAUUCACAACAUUGGUCACAAAUUCAAAAAAUUAUAGAUCACAUAUUACAUAUUUUCAUAUUUGAUGGUCACGGAUAACUUUUUAAUUACAAAUGAUCGAAUUUUAAUAUCACAAUUUACGAUCACAGUCGUAGACGGGACCAUCGUCGAUGAAUCACCAACAUUGUUGCUAGAACAAUCACCAUUUGUUGACGGAACCACGAACCACUGCACCACUGCCACAACCACCGCUAAACAAAAAUAGAA
rnacentral:lncRNA from 1 species